rnacentral:RNase_P_RNA from 1 species
GCUACCAACCGGGUCAUCGCGCUCUUUGUUCACAUAAAGGGGGAGGAAAGUCCGGACAGCACAGGGCAAUGCACCGGCUAACGGCCGGGUGGCGCGCAAGCGCCAAUAGAGAGUGCCACAGAAAAUAACUGUCCGCUACGGCGGAUGAGGGUGAAAAUGUGGGGUAAGAGCCCACGGCGCCGGCAAGUAAUUGCCGGGGCGGGUAAACCUUGCAUGCUGAAAUGCCACGUAUACCGGCGAUUGAGGGCGGCCCGUCCGAUGCCGGAGGGUAGGCAGCAAGAUCCCUGCAGUAAUGCAGGGGCCAGAUAAAUGAUGACCACCCCGCCUCCGGCGGGGAACAGGAUCCGGCUUACAGGUUGGUAGCUUUU